ensembl:lncRNA
CAGAGGCAGAUGACGGUCCUAGGGUUUUUUGCAGCUGAAGGUGUCGGACGUUAGUCUACAGCUGUGUGUCCCUCUGCUGACCGCUGACGCACUCCUUGGACAGAACACGGGAACAAGUCCUUCUCAUCAGACAAGUGUUUGAGUCACCGUAGCCACCAGAUCCAGUCUCUAUUCAGAUCAGAGGGUCACUGCAGUCACCCGGAUCAAGUACCUAUCCAGCCCAGAUGGUGGACCAGCACCUAGAAGGAACCUCUACCGCCCUGAAAGACAGCGGAGACCAGGACAACUAGAUGAGCCCCAGAUACCCUGUAAAGACCUUGUCUCAGAUGACCACCGGGACAAGACCACAGGAACCAGUUGAGUCCUCUGCACAAUCUAACUUUGCGGCAGCCUGGAAUUGAACUGCUGGUUUCGUCUGGUCAGAGGAGAACUGGCCCCCCCACUGAGCCUGGUUUCUCCCAAGGUUUUUUCUCCAUUCUGUCACCGAUGGAGUUUUGGUUCCUUGCCGCUGUCGCCUCUGGCUUGCUUAGUUGGGGACACUUAAUUUACAGCGAUAUUGUUGACUUGAUUGUAAAUGAUUGCACAGAUACUAUUUAAACUGAACUGAGCUGGAUGAUGACAUCACUGAAUUCAUUGAUGAACUGCCUUUAACUGAAAAAUUAGUGUUUACUACUGUCAUUUUGCAUUAUUGAC